rnacentral:SRP_RNA from 1 species
GCUGGGCAUGGUGGUGUGUGCCUGUAGUCCCAGCUGCUCAGGAGGCUGAGGCGGGAGGAUGGCUUGAGCCCAGGAGGUUGAGGCUGCAGUGAGCCAUGAUCACGCCACUGCACCCCAGCCUGGGCAACAGAGCAGGACCCUGUCUCAA